rnacentral:misc_RNA from 1 species
GAUGAAGAACGUAGUAAAAUGCGAUAAGUAAUGUGAAUUGCAGAAUUCAGUGAAUCAUCGAAUCUUUGAACGCACAUUGCGCCCGCUGGUAUUCCGGCGGGCAUGCCUGUUCGAGCGUCAUUUCAACCCUCAAGCCCCCGGGUUUGGUGUUGGGGAUCGACUCUGCCCUUCUGGGCGGUGCCGCCCCCGAAAUACAUUGGCGGUCUCGCUGCAGCCUCCAUUGCGUAGUAGCUAACACCUCGCAACUGGAACGCGGCGCGGCCAUGCCGUAAAACCCCAACUUCUGAAUGUUGACCUCGGAUCAGGUAGGAAUACCCGCUGAACUUAAGCAUAUCAAUAAGCGGAGGA